rnacentral:rRNA from 1 species
UACGAAGGGGGCUAGCGUUGCUCGGAAUGACUGGGCGUAAAGGGCGCGUAGGCGGCUCAUGAAGGCUGUGGUGAAAGUCCGGGGCUCAACCUCGGAUCGGCCGUGGCGACUCGUGGGCUGGAGCACUGUAGAGGCGGGUGGAAUUCCGGGUGUAGCGGUGGAAUGCGUAGAGAUCCGGAAGAACACCAGUGGCGAAGGCGGCUCUCUGGACUGUAACUGACGCUGAGGCGCGAAAGCGUGGGGAGCAAACAGG